UACGUAGGGUGCGAGCGUUAUCCGGAAUUACUGGGCGUAAAGCGUGCGUAGGCGGAUUUUUAAGUCGAAUGUUAAAUCUACAGGCUCAACUUGUAGGCUGCAUUCGAUACUGGAAGUCUUGAGAGUGGAAGAGGCAGAUGGAAUUCUCGGUGGAGCGGUUAAAUGCGUAGAUAUCGAGAGGAACACCAAUGGCGAAGGCAAUCUGCUGGGCCACUUCUGACGCUAAGGCACGAAAGCGUGGGGAGCGAUCGGG
rnacentral:rRNA from 1 species